UACGAAGGGGCUAGCGUUGUUCGGAAUUACUGGGCGUAAAGCGCACGUAGGCGGAUAUUUAAGUCAGGGUGAAAUCCCAGAGCUCAACUCUGGAACUGCCUUUGAUACUGGGUAGUCUUGAGUAUGGAAGAGGUAAGUGGAAUUGCGAGUGUAGAGGUGAAAAUUCGUAGAUAUUCGCAGGAACACCAGUGGCGAAGGCGGCUUACUGGUCCAUAACGUGACGCUGAGGUGACGAAGCGAUGGGAGCAACUAGGGAUUAAGAUGACC
rnacentral:rRNA from 1 species